UACGAAGGGGGCUAGCGUUGUUCGGAUUUACUGGGCGUAAAGCGCACGUAGGCGGAUCGAUCAGUCAGGGGUGAAAUCCCAGAGCUCAACUCUGGAACUGCCUUUGAUACUGUCGAUCUGGAGUAUGGAAGAGGUGAGUGGAAUUCCGAGUGUAGAGGUGAAAUUCGUAGAUAUUCGGUAGAACACCAGUGGCGAAGGCGACUCACUGGCCCGUAACUGACGCUGAUGCGCGAAAGCGUGGGGAGCAACAGG
rnacentral:rRNA from 1 species